rnacentral:rRNA from 1 species
ACUCCUACGGGAGGCAGCAGUGGGGAAUAUUGCACAAUGGGCGUAAGCCUGAUGCAGCGACGCCGCGUGAGGGAUGAAGGCCUUCGGGUUGUAAACCUCUUUCAGCAGGGAAGAAGCGAAAGUGACNGUNCCUGCAGAAGAAGCACCGGCUAACUACGUGCCAGCAGCCGCGGUAAUACGUAGGGUGCAAGCGUUGUCCGGAAUUAUUGGGCGUAAAGAGCUCGUAGGCGGUUUGUCGCGUCUGCUGUGAAAACUCAGGGCUUAACCCUGAGCCUGCAGUGGGUACGGGCAGACUAGAGUGUGGUAGGGGAGAUCGGAAUUCCUGGUGUAGCGGUGGAAUGCGCAGAUAUCAGGAGGAACACCGGUGGCGAAGGCGGAUCUCUGGGCCAUAACUGACGCUGAGGAGCGAAAGCAUGGGGAGCGAACAGGAUUAGAUACCCUGGUAGUCCAUGCCGUAAACGUUGGGCGCUAGGUGUGGGGCUCAUUCCACGAGUUCCGUGCCGCAGCUAACGCAUUAAGCGCCCCGCCUGGGGAGUACGGCCGCAAGGCUAAAACUCAAAGGAAUUGACGGGGGCCCGCACAAGCGGCGGAGCAUGCGGAUUAAUUCGAUGCAACGCGAAGAACCUUACCAAGGCUUGACAUACAGAGAAAACUGUCAGAGAUGGCAGGUCCUUACGGGCUCUGUACAGGUGGUGCAUGGUUGUCGUCAGCUCGUGUCGUGAGAUGUUGGGUUAAGUCCCGCAACGAGCGCAACCCUCGUUCUAUGUUGCCAGCGGAUAAUGCCGGGGACUCAUAGGAGACUGCCGGGGUCAACUCGGA